GGCUGCAGGCAGAGAGGACCCAGGCCUGUGACUUCCCACACCCCUGGGUCUCUUUCCCCCACUCCCGCCCACUGGCCUGUGCCAUCCCCCCUCCCCCUCCCCCUCCACGAUAAACCUUCCUUCCAGCAACCCACUGAGCUCAGUCCUGCCUUGAGGUGCCUCGCUGUGACUGCUGCUCUGGGGAGGUGUCCCCGGAUGGCCCCAAACCAAGCCAGCGCCACCCUCCCCAACUCCCCAAGGCUCCCCAAACACCUUCACGUGAACAUUACACAACUACUAUCAUGCCAUUUUUCUACUUGUCAGCUGUCUGCCCCUCUAGACUGCGAGUCCCAGAAGGGCAGGGCUGGGGCUGUCUUGGUCACCACUGUGUCCCCAACACCAUCCAGCACAGCGCCAGGCCCAGAGCAGGUGUUUUGAUCUGUGCGGGUUUGUUUUUGAAUGAGAGAAUGAAUCCACACUUCGACCUUAUAAGGAAGUGGAGCUCAGAAAAGUGACACACCUUGCCCAAGGCCACACAGCUGCUAAGCGGUGGAGCCGGAACUCAGCUCUUAACUGAGAUGCCACGUGGCUUCUCAGACUCCCCGCUCCCUCAACAGCGAAAUAUUCCUGGAUGGUACUCAGGACGGGGCUUCCUGUCCCAGGGAUAUGGCAGCCAUCAGAGUCCCUGACACGGCCCUGGUGCCCCAUGGUUACAGGCAGUGGCUCCCAAAAUGAACAAGGGGAUGCAGCCCAAACCCAACAACGGCACAGCCCUGUCCUCGGGAAGCUCAGGGCCUGUCACCACGUGGAAAGUGAGGCUGGCCUUUGUCUGCACAGAUUUGCCUUUUUCGGACAUUUCACAAAAAUGGUGGUAAACAGUAUGUGACCUCUGGCGGCCAGCUUCUUUCUGGAACAUAACAAUUUUGAGUUUCGGUCCCUUUGUAGUGCUACGUAGUAACUGUCAGAUGUAUGCAUUUUGUUUAUCCAUUCGCCAGGUGAAAAGAUACCUGUAUUCUUUUCAGUUUUUGGCUAUAAGAGCUUGGAUUUUGUGCUGGGGCAACCAGGAGGGCAGGAAGAAAAGGCUCUGAGCAGGGGAGGGACAGGGUCAGGCCUGGGAGCAGAAAGCUCUCAGGGCCAGCCGAGCAGCAGAUGGGCCAGCGGGAGCCCCUGCUGAGCUUCUGGGCAAGCAUCUCUGAGAGGAUGCUCCCUCCGGCCACUGCUCUGGCCGGGGGCCGUAUGCCCCGACCUCAUCAAGCAGCACCCUGUCUUCCAGGGAAGGAAAGCUGCCUCCCUGGGGUCAGGCAACUGGUAAAAGGCAGAGUCAAAUAUUUGCUCUAGAACUCUCUCCACUGUGUUGGGUGGGGCUGCUGGAGGAAAGAAGCCGACAGAGGCCCCAGGCUUCCCAGAGGGCAGGCCCGGUCCUCUGCCCCUCUCUUCCUCCUUGGGUGGAAGCAGGCGGGGUGGAGCCUGGGUGAAGCUAUAGGUGAUCAGCAGCCUUCCCCAGUGUCAGCUGCCCCCCCGCAGGCCUAGCAAGGGAGCUCUCUGACGUGCAAUCGUGUGCCUGGUGGCUCCCAGCUCUUGGGGGCGGGCGGGGGAACAGGAGCUGGCCUGCAGCUGCCUCAGGGAGUCCAGCCAAGCAGGGGCCACUGACCCCCAGGGGGUCCAUGAACUUGAGUGGGGAAAAACUGCCUUUUUAUUUGCACUAACUGAACUGAAAUGAAAUUCAGCAUUUCCUUCUUACUAACACAGCACAAAAAAGAGAGAAAAAAGAAAUAUUGUUUAGCAGACCCUGGGACUCUGUCCUCAAUAGAAAUGGCAGGUGUUUUCACAUCACGUAACAGUUUUUGUAGAUUCUGAAUGCUCAUCACUACUUUGGAAGUCAUUCGAGCUGCUGCUACAUCCUGUUAUUUCAGGUGUCAACAAGGAAUAGCAUAAUUACUAGAUCACGAUUUUUUAAAUAUUUAAUAAACUGUAUUUUAACUGAUAUCCUUUGUAAUCCUACUUUUUGCCUUUAAAAAUCAUCACUCCAAGAAAGGGCACACAGGUUUUAUCAGAUGGCCAAAGAGACACACUCCCUUCAGUAAAGGCCCCCAGGCCAAGGUGGGGUUGGCCUGCUCAUGUCAGAUGGGGAUGAAGUAGGGUACUGGGUACACAUGGGGUCGUCACUAGCAGUUCUCGGUGUCCUAGACCAGGGGUCCCCAACUCCCGGGCCACGGAACGCUACCGUUCCACAGCCUGUUUAGGAACCGGGCCGCAUAGCAGGAGGUGAGCAGCGGGCCAGCGAGUGAGCUUCAUCUGCUGCUCCCCAUCACCCGCAUUACCGCCUGCACCAUAACCCCCACCCGCUCCACCUCCGGUCCGUGGAAAAAGUGUCUUCCACGAAACCAGUCCCUGGUGCCAAAAAGGUUGGGGACCGCUGUCCUAGACAGUCUACAGGGAAUAAGAGCCCUAAGCAAUCUCUCAAACUGCAGCUGGUCCUUUAGGUGUUCAGCUCUGACAUCCCUUCCUCCAGGAAGCCCUCCCUGACCGCCUAGGACUUUCAGCUCCUGAAGUCCCCUGGGAUCCUGCCCAGUGGGUCGGUCUUUGUUCUGACGAGCCUCCUGGUGAGUUCAAGGCCCAGGGUCUCUGACCUUGCCACCUCCAUACCAGCCACAGGUAGCAUCCAGCCACCCCGUCAGCCAGGCGCCCAUGGGGUUUGGAUGCAGGCACAGCCUCACACAAGGUCACAGCCAGGGUUCGGGGAGGCUGCAUCUGCCCACUCAUGUACAGCAGGGGAAGCUGAGAGCAGGGGGUAGGAAAGAUGGACAUACUCAGAGACAUGGGGGUCCAAGGCCCAGGGCAACUGGAGACAAGAAUGACAAGUGCAUCUUGUCACUUUCCUCUGAUGCUGAGACACAUGUUCAAGGUGGGGACAGCACUGGGGAAAGACACUAAAGGAACAGAAGCGGGGGUUCAGUCGGUGCACUGUGGCGUGGGCUCGGCAGCCUGCAGGCACCCCAACCCUGCCUCGAUUUCCCCAACAGCAUCACGAGCACGUCCCCAGGCCUGGCCCGUCACCAGUGGGCACACGUGAGUGUCAGGUGGGUCAGGAAGAACCUCGCAGUAAUCAUUACGUAUGUGUGUGUUUCAUUCAUAUACUAAGAAGAAAGAACUAUCACAUCAAAACCAUCACUUGGAAACGAAUGAGAUGAAACAUAUUCAAAUUUUUUAAAUGAACCAAUUAAAAAAAAAGUGGUAAGGGAACGGCAGUACAGGUGGUUCGGAGAAAUAACGUGGAGCAUCGAGACAGCACUUCCGCCGCGCCAGGCGCCACCCAAGCACUGUACAAGCUGGCAGGGCUGGCCCAGGCCGGCUGGCUCAGCCCCGGCCGCCACACACUUGCUCAUUUGUGAUGUUGUGACGAAAUCAUCAAGACCUCUACCUCAGGUCAUCCGCCCUCGCCUUGUCCAGCCUUAAGCGAACCACACAGGCUGCGGCGAGUCAGUGGGCCGCUCUCCCAGGCCGCAGUGGCUCCAAAGCAUGGGGCCCGGCCCUCCAGGCUGCAGCUGGGCACCCACAGACAUGCAUGUGUGCCCGGUCUACCCUGAGGAUUCAGCGUGCGGGCGGGGUCGCUGAGGUCGCCUCCCACUUCUGGAGCUGCUGGCAGCCACCCUGGCAGCCACCAAGACGAGAGAACCUCCCGAGAACAAAGCCGACUCACUGGAAAGGUGACCUCAGAGGUGAAGAGAGACAGAGUCCCGACGGACGACGUUGUCUGAGACCCUGGAUCCAGCGAGGCCUGAAGUGAAACUAUUCAAGGCUCCUCAGAUCCAUAAGCCACUAAAUUCCCCCUUUCGGCUUCA